GUAGGUGGCAAGCGUUGUCUGGAAUUAUUGGGCGUAAAGCGCGCGCAGGCGGUUCUUUAAGUCUGAUGUGAAAGCCCACGGCUCAACCGUGGAGGGUCAUUGGAAACUGGAGAACUUGAGUACAGAAGAGGAAAGCGGAAUUCCACGUGUAGCGGUGAAAUGCGUAGAGAUGUGGAGGAACACCAGUGGCGAAGGCGGCUUUCUGGUCUGUAACUGACGCUGAGGCGCGAAAGCGUGGGGGAGCAAACAGGAUUAGAUACCCUGGUAGUCCACGCCGUAAACGAUGAGUGCUAAGUGUUAGGGGGUUUUCCCGCCCCCUUAGUGCUGCAGCUAACGCAUUAAGCACUCCGCCCUGGGAGUACGGCCGCAAGGCUG
rnacentral:rRNA from 1 species